CCCUUCUGGGUCCUCGCAGUGGCCUCUGAAGCAUUGCAGGAGAACCGUUGCACCCCGCAGAGCACACCUUGAAAGCUGCUGUUUGAAGGAACAGUCAGAGACACAGGAAGCGCUCUGACCUGACUAGAAUCCUCUUCUGUGAAGAGUUGCAGACUGUGGGGAAUAGCACUUCUUAUAUAUUUUGCUUUCCAAGGGGAUCUGGCCAGGCUUCUGGGAGAGGCCUGCAGAUGAUGAAUUGCAGGCCACUGCUGUUGCUCUCUAUCCUGUUUUCUACUUCGUGGCUCCAAGAAGCCCUGGGAGGCAUUCAGUGUUUGGGAAACAUUUCCAGUUUGGUUGAGAAGCAAUUUGGACAUUUUUCUGUAGCCUGUCUGAAUUGACAGCCUCCAGCUGUGUUGCUAAGCAGUCUGUGGAUGGUCAUGAAGCUAUCUAUAAAAGAGAGCAAUUCACCCAGGUAGAUCUACUCUCCAAAGCCAACUUGGUAAUUGAGAAGCUGCUCUUUGGAUUCGGAAUGGAGGAAAUCAUUGGUCACAUGGGACUGCUAAAUUCUAGUGGUGUGUUGAGAAGGGGACCAGCUGGAGAGUCAACUGCACUCCAAGUUCUCCUCUCUGCUCACCAACGUCAGUCUAUGGGGCCUCAGGAAAGCCUUUGACUUUCUGGGCCUCAGUUUCCCUAUCUGUCAAAGGCAGGCAGUGGACUAGACAAUCUCUAAAGACCCCUCCUUCUGUAAAUGUUCUCUGUUACUGUUGUAUCCUCAUUCCAAAGAGUGAGAGAUUCAUCAAUCCAUUACAAAUUGAAUUGGGUUGUUAAAAGUUCUUCAAUCUUAUUUUGGUUUCAGAAAUAUGUAACACUGUAUUGUUUUGGUAAUAUUUUCUUCCUCUCAGGGCAGAUAUAGUAUAUGAUGAAAAUGAAAAGAAGCCUGUGAAUAGAAGUGAGAAGAAUUGGGACAGUGAAUCAGGUGGCAGAAUAUCUGGAAGCUUCUUGCAGACACAGAUGGUUGAUGUAAACUGUGUGGCAGGGAAUUUCUGCCAGACAUCCCAUGGAGUUUAUUACUAAAUGUGGGAUCAGUAAACUUUUAAAAACAUACUGUGCAUGUAAAAUCAUUUAAAAUACUGCAAGUGCAAAAUCCUUUAGUUUCAGCAAUAUCUGAUUCUUCCCUUCUGCUUUAUAAAUAAUUCAGAUUAAAAUCUCAGUUUUGGUGUUGAGCAAUUUUAUUAUCUUUUAUAAAAUUUUAUCUUUUAUAAAAUUGUUGAGUGACUCAUUAGGAAAAGUUGAAGUUCUGAUUGUGUGGUGGCCCCUGCUUCCAAGAUAUGUUUCAUUUGACUCCAUAUUUUUUUUUUUUCUGAAAAGGCAGAAAUCCUAUAAAGGACAAUUAAGAAGUAUAAAAUUAAAGUGAAACGCUGGAAUGAAAUGAAAGGAUAUUAUGCCACAGUGUGUGGUCUGAGUAAAAAGCAUUAAAGUUGAGCCAGCUGCUAAACUCAGCGCUAAAGUGUACCAGUUAAUUUUAUAAUCUAGGAAACGAU
rnacentral:lncRNA from 1 species